rnacentral:lncRNA from 1 species
GAGACUCUUCUAUAUUGUGCAAAUGCUGGGUGAGAUUCCAAGGUGAAAGCUGUCAGAUGCUGAUUACCUUGCAGCAGGCGAUAAGCUAUUCCGAGUUUUGCAGGAGGGCAGAGGGCCCGGGGCCGUGCAGCCGGCAGGUGGCAGCAGCUCGUUUCCAGCGGGGCCGGAGCGGUUCCCGGUGCGGGAUUGCACGCACUGAGAUCGUUACUUUCAGGAGGAUGCAGAGGAUCUCAGCAUUUCAUGCUGACAACAGGACAGAGAUGUGGACCCACCUGAGUGCACCUCCCUGGGCUGGGAUGGAACAGAGCAGCCCCACACUCACCAUGAAGAAGGAAAUGGGACCGGUGCUGCACUUUUUCCAGUUUCUGGCAGCCCCCUCUCAGGAGAGGCUCAGCAGAGAGGUACAAAGCUGCAACAGGAACAGAGGCACCAGGGGGCUGCUCAGCAGUUUGUUAUGA